rnacentral:tRNA from 1 species
AUUUUCUUAAUACAGAAGUAUAGAUGACUUCCAAUCAUCCAGCCUUGGUUAAACCCCAAGAGAAAAUA